GACGGAGGAUGCAAGUGUUAUCCGGAAUCACUGGGCGUAAAGCGUCUGUAGGUGGUUCGAAAAGUCCACUGUUAAAAAUUGAGGCUUAACCUCAAAGAUGCCGUGGAAACUUUCAAACUAGAGUAUGGUAGGGGUAGGAGGGAAUUUCCAGUGGAGCGGUGAAAUGCGUAGAUAUUGGAAAGACCACCGGAUGGCGAAGGCACUCUACUGGGCCAUUACUGACACUGAGAGACGAAAGCUAGGGGAGCAAAUGGG
rnacentral:rRNA from 1 species